rnacentral:rRNA from 1 species
GUACACUCCUGCGGGAGGCAGCAGUGGGGAAUAUUGCACAAUGGGCGCAAGCCUGAUGCAGCCAUGCCGCGUGUAUGAAGAAGGCCUUCGGGUUGUAAAGUACUUUCAGCGGGGAGGAAGGCAAUACGGUUAAUAACCGUGUUGAUUGACGUUACCCGCAGAAGAAGCACCGGCUAACUCCGUGCCAGCAGCCGCGGUAAUACGGAGGGUGCAAGCGUUAAUCGGAAUUACUGGGCGUAAAGCGCACGCAGGCGGUCUGUCAAGUCGGAUGCGAAAUCCCCGGGCUCAACCUGGGAACUGCAUUCGAAACUGGCAGGCUUGAGUCUUGUAGAGGGGGGUAGAAUUCCAGGUGUAGCGGUGAAAUGCGUAGAGAUCUGGAGGAAUACCGGUGGCGAAGGCGGCCCCCUGGACAAAGACUGACGCUCAGGUGCGAAAGCGUGGGGAGCAAACAGGAUUAGAUACCCUUGUAGUCCC